rnacentral:lncRNA from 1 species
CGACAACGCACAAGUAUGCUUCGAAUUUGAUUCUUUUUUUUCUCUUUCAUUUGUUUAUGCUCUUUUCUUCUUCUGUUGGAUCAAUUGUGUUGUUGUUGUUGUUGAUCUGUUAUGGGCUUAGCUCCACUAUAUCAGAGCUUCGAUGUGAAGCUCUGAGUAGUGAUAUAAUUGAGAGAUAGUGAUGGUGAGGUGAGAUUUUAGCAGAGUAACAAUAAGGUUUUCUUGUUGUUGAUGAGUGAAGAGGAUAGAGUUUAUAUAGGAAGGCUUUGGAAGGAAAAUUAGUUGAAGUCAGUUAGGCAUUGAUGGAUGUGAGCCCUAAGAUUAUGAUCCAUGUGAGGAGUUAAUAUUGGCUAAGAUUAAUUCUCAAUUUAGUUAGGAUUUGUGUUAAUUCAUAGUGAAAAAUUAGUCUAAUUUCGUGUUAGUUAAAAUUGCAUUUGAAUUGAAUUUGUUGUGAAUUUAACUUGCAAUCAAAUGGAUUUUUGGAGUGAGAGUUUGCGUGUAACUGAUUAGGGCAGCUUGGUUAUGGUCAGGGCAAUUGGGGCAAUGUUGAGCUAGUUUCCACUCUCUGCAUUUGUGUUGUUAGGCUGAGGUAAGGUUAAUUUGUGAAGUCAAAGUAGAAUUCAAACAUUUCACUUUUUUCUCUUUGUGAUCUCUAAAUUUACCAGUGGCGGUAUUAUAUCCAAAUCUUGUAUUGUCGUUUGACAGAACCUUCUCACUAACAACACUUCCAAUUACACCAGCGUCUUUUGCUAUUAAUUUCAAAGGGUAACUAAGAGCUCUUUUAACAAUGUCAUCUCUGACAUUUUUUCACAUU